UACGGGGGGGGCAAGCGUUGUUCGGAAUUACUGGGCGUAAAGGGCGCGUAGGCGGCCUGCUAAGUCGGACGUGAAAUCCCUCGGCUCAACCGGGGAACUGCGUCCGAUACUGGCGAGGCUUGAAUCCGGGAGAGGGAUGUGGAAUUCCAGGUGUAGCGGUGAAAUGCGUAGAUAUCUGGAGGAACACCGGUGGCGAAGGCGGCAUCCUGGACCGGUAUUGACGCUGAGGCGCGAAAGCCAGGGGAGCAAACGGG
rnacentral:rRNA from 1 species